GGCAGGAAGGGCCGGCCCCAGGUGCUGCAGCCCCCAGCCUCGCCCCGCCCACCCGCCAGCUGGUGCCUGUGAACUUGUCUUCCUAUCGCCUGGAACAUCGCUGCAAUUAUUGAUUUUUUGACACAGAACAACAGCCCAUCUUUAUCGGGCUGAACCCUGGCCCCAGCUAAUGGCAGAGCUGGGACCGCCUGGGAAUAGCAAGGAGGGCAGGGUGGGGCCCAGCUCUCCUGCAGUCAGGACCCACGGGGGUCCCCACUGGCCCCUGAAUCAAGCACUGUGCUACAGUGGGGGUUCCUGUCCCAGGGGCGCCGUGCUCAUCCACCCACCCUGCCUGGGGUUGGAGGAACGACAGCUAAAGGCGGGUGGGGGUGGCGAGCGCUCUGAGGGCAGCCCCGGAUCUGCCGUCCGGCCACCGUGUGUGCAGAGACCCACAAACGGGCAUCCACGUGGCCUCUGCUGCCCUUAGAACAUCCUUCUCUGGAAGAAACGU
rnacentral:lncRNA from 1 species